rnacentral:RNase_P_RNA from 1 species
GAAGUGAGCUGGACGGUCGCUGCUAUGGAGGUCUUCGUGACUGAAGUAGGGGAGGAAAGUCCGGGCUUUAAAGGGCAAGGUGCCAGGUAAUGCCUGGGCGGCGUGAGCCGACGGAAAGUGCAGCAGAGAGUAGACCGCCAUUUUUUAAAUGGUAAGGGUGAAAGGGUGUGGUAAGAGCACACCGCGUGUCUGGUAACAGUACAUGGCAUGGUAAACCCCACCUGAAGCAAGACCAAAUAGGAAUCCGCAUAGGUAUGGCCCAUACUGGAUUCGGGUAGGUCGCUUGAGCAUAUAAGUGAUUAUAUGCCUAGAGGAAUGAUCGUUCUUGACAGAACCCGGCUUAUAGGCUCACUUCUUUU